rnacentral:rRNA from 1 species
UAGUCCACGCCCUAAACGAUGCACACUAGUUGUUGCUAUGCUAGACAUAGCAGUAAUGCAGUUAACACAGUAAGUGUGCCGCCUGGGGAGUACGGUCGCAAGAUUAAAACUCAAAGGAAUAGACGGGGACCCGCACAAGCGGUGGAGCAUGUGGUUUAAUUCGACGAUACGCGAAGAACCUUACCUGGCCUUGACAUAGACAGAAUUUAGUAGAGAUAUAAAAGUGCCAGUUUACUGGAGCUGUUAUACAGGUGCUGCACGGCUGUCGUCAGCUCGUGUCGUGAGAUGUUGGGUUAAGUCCCGCAACGAGCGCAACCCACGUCGUUAGUUACUAACAGUUUGGCUGAGGACUCUAACGAGACUGCCUGGGUAACCAGGAGGAAGGUGUGGACGACGUCAAGUCAUCAUGGCCCUUACGGCCAGGGCUACACACGUGCUACAAUGGGGUAUACAAAGAGCUGCAAUAUCGCGAGAUGGAGCAAAUCUAUAAAAUAU